rnacentral:rRNA from 1 species
AUUGAACGCUGGCGGAAUGCUUUACACAUGCAAGUCGAACGGCAGCACGGACUUCGGUCUGGUGGCGAGUGGCGAACGGGUGAGUAAUACAUCGGAACGUGCCCGGACGUGGGGGAUAACUACUCGAAAGAGUGGCUAAUACCGCAUACGAUCCAAGGAUGAAAGCGGGGGAUCGCAAGACCUCGCGCGUUUGGAGCGGCCGAUGGCAGAUUAGGUAGUUGGUGAGGUAAAGGCUUACCAAGCCUGCGAUCUGUAGCUGGUCUGAGAGGAUGAUCAGCCACACUGGGACUGAGACACGGCCCAGACUCCUACGGGAGGCAGCAGUGGGGAAUUUUGGACAAUGGGCGAAAGCCUGAUCCAGCCAUUCCGCGUGCAGGAUGAAGGCCCUCGGGUUGUAAACUGCUUUUGUACGGAACGAAAAGGCUCUUGCUAAUACCAGGAGUCCAUGACGGUACCGUAAGAAUAAGCACCGGCUAACUACGUGCCAGCAGCCCGG